rnacentral:rRNA from 1 species
GACGAACGCUGGCGGCGCGCUUAACACAUGCAAGUCGAACGGAAAGGCCUGCUUUCCCUUGUGGAUUGCGGGUACUCGAGUGGCGAACGGGUGAGUAACACGUGAGUGAUCUGCCCCCAACUUGGGUUUAAGCCUGGGAAACUGGGUCUAAUUCCCGAUAGGACUGCAGGGUGGUGCCUGUGGUGGAAAACGAUUUUCUAGUGGUUGGGGAUGAGCUCGCGGCCUAUCAGCUUGUUGGUGGGGUAAUGGCCUACCAAGGCGGCGACGGGUAGCCGGCCUGGGAGGGUGGACGGCCACAUUGGGACUGAGAUACGGCCCAGACUCCUACGGGAGGCAGCAGUGGGGAAUAUUGCACAAUGGGCGGAAGCCUGAUGCAGCGACGCCGCGUGGGGGAUGACGGCCUUCGGGUUGUAAACUCCUUUCGACCGCGAGGAAGCCACCUGGUUGGAAGGGUGGUGACGGUAGUGGUAGAAGAAGCACCGGCUAACUACGUG